rnacentral:misc_RNA from 1 species
AUUGCUCAUAUGUACAAGACUGAUCGAAACAAGUAUGAAACAACUGCUCGAAGCUGGACCCAAAAGUACGCCAUGGGUUAGUUGCUGUUGCAAUGCAUCUGUAGAGGGGGUCUCCUUUCCCUCUGUGUUUUUGGGCAUUAUCAGUAAUGUGUUUAGAUAUGAAGUGUUUUUUAUGGCUUAAUCAGUUUCAAGGGGAACAGUUGUGUUUUUGUCUCUUGAAACACAAAUCUUUGCCUUUUGUUUUGUAAAAUCCAACGGUUAUGCUACUCUUAUGGAUAGGUCAAAAUUAAGCAGUUUGACCAUUUUGUAUGUGUAUGAAAAUGUUUCCUUAAAA